UUGCUGCUGUGAUGAAGUGAUGAAAUCGUUUAUUCGCAUGUCAGACUUCAGAGAUCCAUGGAUCAAUGAGAAGAGAUUUCAUUCUUUCUGAGCCAA